AUUGAACGCUGGCGGCAUGCUUUACACAUGCAAGUCGAACGGUAACAGGCCGCAAGGUGCUGACGAGUGGCGAACGGGUGAGUAAUGCAUCGGAACGUGCCCAGUCGUGGGGGAUAACGCAGCGAAAGCUGUGCUAAUACCGCAUACGAUCUGUGGAUGAAAGCGGGGGACCGUAAGGCCUCGCGCGAUUGGAGCGGCCGAUGUCAGAUUAGGUAGUUGGUGGGGUAAAGGCUCACCAAGCCGACGAUCUGUAGCUGGUCUGAGAGGACGACCAGCCACACUGGGACUGAGACACGGCCCAGACUCCUACGGGAGGCAGCAGUGGGGAAUUUUGGACAAUGGGCGCGAGCCUGAUCCAGCAAUGCCGCGUGCAGGAAGAAGGCCUUCGGGUUGUAAACUGCUUUUGUACGGAGCGAAAAGGCUCCCUCUAAUACAGGGGGCUCAUGACGGUACCGUAAGAAUAAGCACCGGCUAACUACGUGCCAGCCGCCGCGGUAAGAC
rnacentral:rRNA from 1 species